GGGGAAUAUUGGACAAUGGGCGAAAGCCUGAUCCAGCCAUGCCGCGUGAGUGAUGAAGGCCCUAGGGUUGUAAAGCUCUUUUGUGCGGGAAGAUAAUGACGGUACCGCAAGAAUAAGCCCCGGCUAACUUCGUGCCAGCAGCCGCGGUAAUACGAAGGGGGCUAGCGUUGCUCGGAAUCACUGGGCGUAAAGGGUGCGUAGGCGGGUUUCUAAGUCAGAGGUGAAAGCCUGGAGCUUAACUCCAGAACUGCCUUUGAUACUGGAAGUCUUGAGUUCGGGAGAGGUGAGUGGAACUGCGAGUGUAGAGGUGAAAUUCGUAGAUAUUCGCAAGAACACCAGUGGCGAAGGCGGCUCACUGGCCCGAUACUGACGCUGAGGCACGAAAGCGUGGGGAGCAAACA
rnacentral:rRNA from 1 species